rnacentral:rRNA from 1 species
AUUGAACGCUGGCGGAAUGCUUUACACAUGCAAGUCGAACGGCAGCACGGACUUCGGUCUGGUGGCGAGUGGCGAACGGGUGAGUAAUAUAUCGGAACGUGCCCAGUCGUGGGGGAUAACGUAGCGAAAGUUACGCUAAUACCGCAUACGAUCUAAGGAUGAAAGCGGGGGAUCGCAAGACCUCGCGCGAUUGGAGCGGCCGAUAUCAGAUUAGGUAGUUGGUGGGGUAAAGGCUCACCAAGCCAACGAUCUGUAGCUGGUCUGAGAGGACGACCAGCCACACUGGAACUGAGACACGGUCCAGACUCCUACGGGAGGCAGCAGUGGGGAAUUUUGGACAAUGGACGCAAGUCUGAUCCAGCCAUUCCGCGUGCAGGAUGAAGGCCCUCGGGUUGUAAACUGCUUUUGUACAGAACGAAAAGGCUCUUCCUAAUACGGAGGGCUCAUGACGGUACUGUAAGAAUAAGCACCGGCUAACUACGUG